rnacentral:lncRNA from 1 species
GGUCUAGUUGGAACUCACAUUUUUUAUUAUAUUUAUAAUUUAUAAUAUUAUAGCAUACUUCUUGAAUUUUAUACGUGCUCAGAUUAGGUAUAAUAUGUUCUAUUUUUAGUUUUGGUAUCCAAAAUUGAAGGGAGCACUGUCAACAUAGAAAGUCGUUACACGUACAUCCAAAUACGGAAUAGAAGUCACACACCAGGAGCCGAGCCCACCCGACAUGGAUUGGGUGGUGGGGUGGGUUUAAUCCAAUCCACGGGUGUAUUUGAGGACACGUGUAUACAGUACAUGAUC